rnacentral:lncRNA from 1 species
AGACAUUUAAAGGCAGCUCUGAUCAACAUGAGACUUCAAGCUUUGGGAUCAAAGGUGGUGCAUCCUUAUGGAGCUCAGUCAAGAAAUUCCUGGGGUAUGAUAAUUGCUGCAAUUCCUUUUUGUUCUUUUACUCAAUAUUAUUUUUAUUACUUUGAUUUCUCCUCUAUGCACGACUAUACAUUCAAAUUAUAAGAAAAGGAUAAAUGUCCGUUUUUCUCAAUCUCAUGUCAUUUUCUUAAGCAUUCUAAAAGCUUAGCUGACAUUAUUACUAGAACUGCUAUGGUAUUAAUUACUAAAAAACAUAAUAAGGUUAAAAUAUUUAAAAAUAUUUGGACCCACACAAAUAGUGUAAUUAACUUGAGAGUGGAAUGUUCUUACGGGGAUAUGUACACUUUGGGUUAAAUUAUUAUGCAUGUCAUAUUUCACAUUUAGUUUGUGUACUUUAGACUUCUUUUUUAGGACAAAAUCUGUGUAUUUCUGGACAUGCUUUUGAGGAUGGAGUAUCAAGUCAGAUGACCUUGUAAUAAAGAUGGUCCAUGUAAUCUGUAGAAAAUAAGAACUUGAUUUUGGGAUAAUAAUUUCUUAAUUCAUUCUUCUCAAUUACAUUGGCUUAUAUACACAAGUAUCCUAAUUUAUAGUGUGCAUUAGUACCACGUAGCAACUCUAUUGUCUUUUUCUGCUUAUGAGCAAUACGGUGUACAUUAGUACCACGUAGCAACUCUAUUGUCUUUGUGUAUUGAUUUUGGCACUAAGUGCCUCUGGUGACCUAUUUGCUUCAUUUUCCUGACUUUGCUAUUAUUUUUAAAUAUGUGCAGGAAGACUGCUUCUACGACCUGCCUUACAAUACUGGGUAUCAAAUUUUCGUGCUACGUUUACGGAAGACAAGGGACGAAAUUAUGAAGUGUACUCUCUCUAUAUAUGUAGAUAUAUACUUUGAUUGAAGAACUGUGGUAGCUUUAGAUGGUUAAUUGUAAAGAUAAUGAAUGAUUAUGUAGUGGAUG